rnacentral:rRNA from 1 species
AGUGAACGCUGGCGGUAGGCCUAACACAUGCAAGUCGAACGGCAGCACAGGAGAGCUUGCUCUCUGGGUGGCGAGUGGCGGACGGGUGAGGAAUACAUCGGAAUCUACCUUUUCGUGGGGGAUAACGUAGGGAAACUUACGCUAAUACCGCAUACGACCUACGGGUGAAAGUGGGGGACCGCAAGGCCUCACGCGAUUAGAUGAGCCGAUGUCCGAUUAGCUAGUUGGCGGGGUAAUGGCCCACCAAGGCGACGAUCGGUAGCUGGUCUGAGAGGAUGAGCAGCCAGACUGGAACUGAGACACGGUCCAGACUCCUACGGGAGGCAGCAGUGGGGAAUAUUGGACAAUGGGCGCAAGCCUGAUUCAGCCAUACCGCGUGGGUGAAGAAGGCCUUCGGGUUGUAAAGCCCUUUUGUUGGGAAAGAAAUCCUGUCGAUUAAUACUCGGUGGGGAUGACGGUACCCAAAGAAUAAGCACCGGCUAACUUCGUGCCAGCCGCCGCCGUAACAC